UCAAGUGCGGCGUAGCCCCUUGGCCGAGACCCGGUUUCUUGCGCUGCGUACCUGCACGAUGGCAUCCGCUUUUGUCCCAGCGACCCUCGUUCGUCUAGCGCUCCCCGUCCUGGUGGGGGGCACAAGGCGAAACUUGUAGCCUGGUCCGUUGCCCACGUCGCGUCCGGCUGUCGUGGUGAGCUUGACAGUGCUUAAGCUCUGGGACGUGGAAAGCAGCAUGGAAGGGCAUCCUUGCCCGAGCAUGCAUGCAUUAGAUGGACCCCAACACCGGUGCACGACUGUCGCUCCCGCGCUCGGUUCGGCCGUGCGGGCAGAGGACGUCGCUGAGGAAUGCUACCUGGUUGAUCCUGCCAGUA
rnacentral:misc_RNA from 1 species